UCAGACCAAGCCUCACAAAAGUUCUCCAACAGAAUUUUGAUCCUCACAACCGUUUGUCCGGUACAGCCACUGAAAUUCAGCAGAAAAGAUGCCAAACAGGAAGUAAAGUCAUACCUCAGCAAAUCUUUCAGAUAUCAACACCAAACUUGGUAUGCACGUGGAAGACACUACAACAUGUCCCCAUGUGCAAAGGCAACUUCAUAUCUUCAAAAAUGAUUGAUAUAAAGCAAAUUGCAUUAAUCGCUAACGCGAAUGGUGAAUAUGUAGCCGGGUAGCUUUAGGACCCAGGAGUUUAUAGGCAGCCAAUGGUUGACGUGCUGUUCUGAAUGCUGCCUGACACGCGCGCGACAUGCACGAGACGGACAGACACAAUUUUAUUGAGACUAUUUUGUGGAUACGAGAGAAGAGGACGAUUUCUGGUGUGGAGAAGGUUUUCGUCUACAUUUGACCGUUUCCCCAUCUCCUCCCAUACCAUGGGCCAGAGGAGCAUGACCACCUGGGUGAGGAGUUUCUGAAUUAUCAGACCAUGCCAACCACCUCCCUUCAGGACGAAACUGAGAUGGAAAGCUUCUGGGCUGGAAUGGCAACACGGAAACAUAAGGUGGCAGGAACUAAAGAAUUUGAGAGGCUUGUUGCCGUCGCCAAGCUGGUCCUGGUGUUGCCCCAUUCGAAUGCAGAUGCUGAGAGGGUGUUUUCAGUGUUCAGUGGGACUGAACAAAACUAAGACCAGAAAUAGCCUGGCAUUGGAUGGCACCCUGUCUUCAAUAAUGGCCAUAAAGAUGGCCGACCUGGAGCCCUGUUUCAGAUGGGAGCCCCCCUCAGAGGUCAUCAAGGCCUCCAAGAAGGCCACAGUAGGCCCCACAGUAGGCAGACUUUGGGCCCCAAAAACCAACAGAAUGCAGAGCAC
ensembl:lncRNA